UGCAGUCGAACGAAGUAGAAAUACUUAGUGGCAGACGGGUGAGUAACAUGUGGGUAUCUUCCCUAUGGCCAGGAAUAACACGAGGAAACUUGUGCUAAUACCGGAUAAGUCUUUACGGAGAAAGCUUUAUGCACCAUUGGAUGAGCCCGCACUUGAUUAGUUUGUUGGUAGGGUAAUGGCCUACCAAGACUUUGAUCAAUAGCUGAUUUGAGAGGAUGAUCAGCCACAUUGGGACUGAGACACGGCCCAAACUCCUACGGGAGGCAGCAGUGGGGAAUCUUGCACAAUGGAGGAAACUCUGAUGCAGCGAUGCCGCGUGAGUGAAGAAGGCCUUUGGGUUGUAAAGCUCUUUCGUCGGGGAAGAAAAUGACUGUACCCGAAUAAGAAGGUCCGGCUAACUUCGUGCCAGCAGCCGCGGUAAUACGAAGGGACCUAGCGUAGUUCGGAAUUACUGGGCUUAAAGAGUUCGUAGGUGGUUGAAAAAGUUGGUGGUGAAAUCCCAGAGCUUAACUCUGGAACUGCCAUCAAAACUUUUCAGCUAGAGUUUGAUAGAGGAAAGCAGAAUUUCUAGUGUAGAGGUGAAAUUCGUAGAUAUUAGAAAGAAUACCAAUUGCGAAGGCAGCUUUCUGGAUCAUUACUGACACUGAGGAACGAAAGCAUGGGUAGCGAAGAGGAUUAGAUACCCUCGUAGUCCAUGCCGUAAACGAUGUGUGUUAGACGUUGGAAAUUUAUUUUCAGUGUCGCAGUGAAAGCAAUAAACACACCGCCUGGGGAGUACGACCGCAAGGUUAAAACUCAAAUGAAUUGACGGGGACCCGCACAAGUAGUGGANCAUGUGGUUUAAUUCGAAGAUACGCGCAGAANCCUUACCAACACUUGACNUGUUCGUCGCGACUU
rnacentral:rRNA from 1 species